rnacentral:rRNA from 1 species
UACGUAGGGGGCAAGCGUUGUCCGGAUUUAUUGGGCGUAAAGCGCACGCAGGCGGUCUUUCGCGUUUUGAGUGACAGGUGGGGGCUUAACUCCCACAGGCCUCAGAAGACGGGAAGACUUGAGGGCUUCAGAGGGACGCGGAAUUCCAGGUGGAGCGGUGAAAUGCGUAGAGAUGGGGGAGAACACUCGUGGCGAAGGCGGCCAGCUAGACCAGUUCUGACACUGAGGCGCGACAGCGUGGGGAGCAAACAGG